GACGAACGCUGGCGGCGUGCUUAACACAUGCAAGUCGAACGGAAAGGCCCGGCUUUUGUGGGGUGCUCGAGUGGCGAACGGGUGAGUAACACGUGAGUAACCUGCCCUUGACUUUGGGAUAACUUCAGGAAACUGGGGCUAAUACCGGAUAGGAGCUCCUGCUGCAUGGUGGGGGUUGGAAAGUUUCGGCGGUUGGGGAUGGACUCGCGGCUUAUCAGCUUGUUGGUGGGGUAGUGGCUUACCAAGGCUUUGACGGGUAGCCGGCCUGAGAGGGUGACCGGCCACAUUGGGACUGAGGUACGGCCCAGACUCCUACGGGAGGCAGCAGUGGGGAAUAUUGCACGAUGGGCGGAAGCCUGAUGCAGCAACGCCGCGUGCGGGAUGACGGCCUUCGGGUUGUAAACCGCUUUCGCCUGUGACGAAGCGUGAGUGACGGUAAUGGGUAAAGAAGCACCGGCUAACUACGUG
rnacentral:rRNA from 1 species